AGCCGCUCUUUCUGAGAAGUAUGUAUAACGCUGUGUCCUGCACGGGUUACAGCGAAAUGCGAGUUACUAUUUAAUCGCGAUAAAGAAGUUGCACACAUGAAGUACAGUAUAUAUCAACCACCACAUUAAGUUUGUGCAAACGCUUCCAUAAGUAAACCUUGCAACGAAAAAGAAAUGAGAAAGAGAGCGUCUCUGUUGUGAAAUAUAUUGCAACGGCGCUGGACAAGUUACAUCAGCCAGGGAUCAAUCUCCAAAAGAAUAAGCUGCCAUUUCAUCUGUAGCAAGUUAUAAAAACGACAGCUUUGCACCGUCGCAAGUGCAUUUUCCAGCUGGUCUUUCCUUCCAAGAUCCUCGUGAAGAGCAGAGAAUCGAUCCAUUGCGGUGCUCGGCGCCGACGCUGCGAUAAUGUAUAUCCGUGCUCAGAAUGACAGACCUGCACGUUGAAGACAAGUUCAUUGACAAAAUAAAAGGAAAAAGAAAGCUGCCAAACUAGAUAACCGAAGAUGAAGACGGAAUAUCUUAUGAGGAACAUAUAAAGUUUAUUGAAGGAAGGUUUAAGACCGUGGUCAAAGAAGGACGUAUCUGCUCUCCUGAAACACUUCAAUAUUUUCUUCAUUUUAGUGAAAACAAAAUG